rnacentral:rRNA from 1 species
GACAGAGGGUGCAAACGUUGUUCGGAAUUACUGGGCGUAAAGCGAGUGUAGGCGGUGCGGUAAGUCGGAUGUGAAAGCCCCGGGCUCAACCCGGGAAGUGCACUCGAUACUGCCACGCUAGAGUAUCGGAGAGGUUGGUGGAAUUCUCGGUGUAGAGGUGAAAUUCGUAGAUAUCGAGAGGAACACCGGUGGCGAAGGCGGCCAACUGGACGAAUACUGACGCUGAGACUCGAAAGCGUGGGGAGCAAACAGG